UACAUGCUGUUAAUAAAGUACUGUUUUCUCCCUUUCAGCAGUACAUUGUAUUACAACAAAUGGUCAGAGGAGUUGACUGAUAAUGGACUGGAGUAACCUAGGGUCCAAUGACUCUGAAAAUGCAUGACAGUACUGGCAUGUGUACAUGUAUGUCGACAGCCAAUUCUAAGUAACCUUAAACGUAUACAUUGUAUAUACAAAAGACCUGCAAUAAUGAAUUAACUCCUCAGAUGUCAGUGGAAUGGAAGUAAUACACAUCAUAUGUUUCAAUGAAAUUAACAUGAUUAAUGAUGGGAUAAGACGUAGAGGAGAUCCUAUAUCUACAAUACAUGUAUAUGUAACUGCAAAUGUAUUCCAAGAGUUUAUGGCUGAUUAUGCAACUACAGGAUUUUAUCAUGGAAGCAACAUCUUAGAAGGAUAAGUGCAAAUGUAUGAAGGAAGCCUUGUGUAUAAAUACAUGUAGCAAUUACAUAUGCAGGAGAGAACACUUAAACAUUACUAACAUGUAGUCAUGAUAUGGGCGUGGUGCAUUCUAGAAAUCUAAACACCAGGAAUUAAAUAUUGUAUAUAUUUUUUUUCAACUACAAGUACUUUCAGUAUAUCAUACAAUUCUAAUUCAAAUUAUUGUGUCAACAUGACAGUUACUGUCUAAAAAUGGAAAAUGCUUGUUUUAAAAUGAAUUUUUUAUAAAUAUAUAAAUAACAAGAA